UACGUAGGGUGCGAGCGUUGUCCGGAAUUAUUGGGCGUAAAGGGCUCGUAGGCGGUUUGUCGCGUCGGGAGUGAAAUCAUCUGGCUUAACUGGGUGCUUGCUUUCGAUACGGGCAGACUAGAGGUAUGCAGGGGAGAACGGAAUUCCUGGUGUAGCGGUGAAAUGCGCAGAUAUCAGGAAGAACACCCGUGGCGAAGGCGGCUCUCUGGAACGCAACUGACGCUGAGGAGCGAAAGUGUGGGGAGCGAACAGG
rnacentral:rRNA from 1 species